rnacentral:rRNA from 1 species
ACGCACGCUGGCGGCGUGCCUAAUACAUGCAAGUCGAGCGAAGUUUUUCUGGUGCUUGCACUAGAAAAACUUAGCGGCGAACGGGUGAGUAACACGUAAAGAACCUGCCUCAUAGACUGGGACAACUAUUGGAAACGGUAGCUAAUACCGGAUAACAGUAUUUCUCGCAUGAGAGAUAUUUAAAAGUUGGUUAUGCUAACACUAUGAGAUGGCUUUGCGGUGCAUUAGCUAGUUGGUGGGGUAAAGGCCCACCAAGGCGACGAUGCAUAGCCGACCUGAGAGGGUGAUCGGCCACACUGGGACUGAGACACGGCCCAGACUCCUACGGGAGGCAGCAGUAGGGAAUCUUCCGCAAUGGGCGAAAGCCUGACGGAGCAACGCCGCGUGAGUGAAGAAGGAUUUCGGUUCGUAAAGCUCUGUUGUUAGGGAAGAAUGGAUAUGUAGUAACUAUACAUGUAAGAGACGGUACCUAACCAGAAAGCCACGGCUAACUACGUG